CAGUCGCCGCGGUAAUACAGAGGGUGCGAGCGUUAAUCGGAUUUACUGGGCGUAAAGCGUGCGUAGGCGGCUUUUUAAGUCGGAUGUGAAAUCCCUGAGCUUAACUUAGGAAUUGCAUUCGAUACUGGGAAGCUAGAGUAUGGGAGAGGAUGGUAGAAUUCCAGGUGUAGCGGUGAAAUGCGUAGAGAUCUAGAGGAAUACCGAUGGCGAAGGCAGCCAUCUGGCCUAAUACUGACGCUGAGGUACGAAAGCAUGGGGAGCAAACAGGAUUAGAUACCCCAGUAGUCCCUGUCUCUUAUAC
rnacentral:rRNA from 1 species